GGGCGGGGGGGGGGGGGGGGGAGGUACUGCGAAAUCCAGGGGCAAAAAGGCGGUGUCCACGCGGAAUCCCCGCUGCACUGCGGGAGAUGCGAGUCAGCCUUUCGGAUGCCGGGCGAGCGCAGCCCACUUGGACCUGCCAACGGAGGGCGCUAGUUCGCGGGCCGGCUCUGAGCUCCUUCUUCCUCCUCCCCCGGCUGAUUCACACAAAGGAGGGAGUCCGAGUCCCUUUGACCAAACUAAAAUCAGAGCUCCAGCUUCACACGAAUAUCAGUGGCUUUGGCAGCAAGGAAGAGCAUCCCUAGACUGUGCGUGAGGAGUCCAGACGGUACACUUGGUUCCUGGGAUCCAGCUUCACUGGGGUAUGAGAAGAGACAGAAGAGGAGAAGACACAGAGAAGGCCAUGUAAAAAUGGAGGCAGAGAUUGGAGUCAUGUAGCCAUAAGCCAAGUGAUCCCUGGAGCCACCAGAAGCUAGAAGAAACAAGGAUGGAUUCUGUCAGGGGGUUGUCCAGAGGGAGCACCAACACCUUGAUUUUAGACUUCUGAACUUAAGAAAUCAGAAAAUAAAUGUCUGUUAUUUUAAGCCACCUUGUUUGUGGUACUUUGUUGUAGCAGCCCUGGAAAAUGAAUACCACCAGAUGCUGGAGACAACCCAGUGUGACUGUCUAGCAAGAUCAGAAUGACCAAUAUUGAUUAUAAGACCUUGAAUAAAUAAACAUUCAAGAAUCCAUAAUGAAACUCAAAAGAAUGCUUUGUGAUGUCCUAGAAAAUUGUUCUUUCAAGGGCCAUGUGAAAACUGCAACUCCUGCCGUUAUUGAUGUUAAAUACUUAUCAAACAAUUCUACCAUUCCUCAUUGUUGGGCUUAUACCCAGCACAGGGCCAGGGUCAGCAGUCAAUCACUAUUUGUGGAAU